rnacentral:lncRNA from 10 species
UAACUAGUGAGGCCAAGAAUUAAAACCGAGGUGAUGAGUUUCCAAGCCACUCAGCAGCGAACCGUGGAGUCAAAGUGAAAACAAUUACCAAGGGACAUUGAGAGGGCUCUCUCAGCCAAUUAAAAGAAACACAGAGGCACUAAGUAUGCUUUUGGGAAUUGCCAACUUUCUCACCAGAGAAGUCCCCCUGUGUAUCAAAGUACCCAUGGAAAAGGAUCAAGGCGGCGCACAGGAAGAGGCCAAGAAGCGGAAGGAACCUCACCUCGGUGUCCCAAGUGACAAAGCCCCCGGGGAUCGGGGCUUUGGUACCGAGGAGCAGCAGGAGCCGCUGCCGCAGACGCCCUGAUGCGGAGGACCCAGAGCGCUGUGCAACCGAGGAGCGUCUGGGGAGCCACCGCUGGCGCCAACUUUUGCCAUCCCGGAAGCCAGAGCGGCGGAGAGGGGGUCCUGGACCCGAGGUGGCAGCGAGGGGCUCUGCGUGGUCGGCUGGGGGGACCGGAGCUCAGGACCCCAACUCCAGUCCAGUAGGGCCGCGGCGGGGCAGGCGGAAGCUGCGCGGGCACGGGUGGCCGUGG